rnacentral:rRNA from 1 species
UACGAAGGGGGCUAGCGUUGCUCGGAAUCACUGGGCGUAAAGCGCGCGUAGGCGGGUUGGUAAGUCCGCUGUGAAAGCCCGGAGCUCAACUCCGGAGGGUCGGUGGAUACUGCCAGUCUUGAAGGUGCUAGGGGGAGAUGGAAUUACCGGUGUAGCGGUGAAAUGCGUAGAUAUCGGUAGGAACACCAGUGGCGAAGGCGGUCUCCUGGGGCAUUCUUGACGCUGAGGCGCGGAAAGCUGGGGGAGCGAACGGG